AGGGAAUAUUGGACAAUGGACGCAAGUCUGAUCCAGCCAUCCCGCGUGAAGGAUUAAGGCCCUCUGGGUUGUAAACUUCUUUUCUUUGGAAAUAAAAAGCGGUAUUCAUAUCGCCUUGAAGGUACCAGGGGAAUAAGCACCGGCUAACUCCGUGCCAGCAGCCGCGGUAAUACGGAGGGUGCAAGCGUUAUCCGGAUUCACUGGGUUUAAAGGGUGCGUAGGUGGUCUGUUAAGUCAGCGGUGAAAGCCUGGAGCUCAACUCCAGAAUUGCCAUUGAUACUGAUGGACUUGAAUCAAGUUGAGGUGGAUGGAAUAUUACAUGUAGCGGUGAAAUGCUUAGAUAUGUAAUAGAACACCGAUUGCGAAGGCAGUUCACUAAGCUUGUAUUGACACUGAGGCACGAAAGCGUGGGGAUCAAACA
rnacentral:rRNA from 1 species